UGACAGGCAAGCCCUGAUGCUCUUGUGCAA
rnacentral:piRNA from 1 species